AUACGGAGGAUGCGAGCGUUAUCCGGAUUUAUUGGGUUUAAAGGGAGCGUAGGUGGGAUAUUAAGUCAGCUGUGAAAGUUUGGGGCUCAACCUUAAAAUUGCAGUUGAUACUGGUUUCCUUGAGUACGGUACAGGUGGGCGGAAUUCGUGGUGUAGCGGUGAAAUGCUUAGAUAUCACGAAGAACUCCGAUCGCGAAGGCAGCUCACCGGGCCGGAACUGACACUGAUGCUCGAAAGUGCGGGUAUCAAACAGGAUUAGAUACCCUGGUAGUCCGCACAGUAAACGAUGAAUACUCGCUGUUUGCGAUAUAAUGUCGGAGGCAAAGCGAAAGCGAUAAGUAUUCCACCUGGGGAGUACGCCGGCAACGGUGAAACUUAAAGGAAUUGACGGGG
rnacentral:rRNA from 1 species